UGGGGAAGUAUUGGACAAUGGGCGGAAAGCCUGAUCCAGCGACGCCGCGUGGGUGAUGAAGGCCUUCGGGUCGUAAAGCCCUGUGGGAAGGAAGAAAACGUUGCGGGCAAAUAGGCCGCGACCUUGCGGUACCUUCUCAGAAAGCACCGGCUAACUCUGUGCCAGCAGCCGCGGUAAGACAGAGGGUGCAAACGUUGCUCGGAAUUACUGGGCGUAAAGCGCGUGUAGGCGGGCCGGAAAGUCGGGCGUGAAAUCCCUGGGCUCAACCCAGGAACUGCACUCGAAACUUCCGGUCUAGAGUGGUGGAGAGGGAAGUGGAAUUCCUGGUGUAGAGGUGAAAUUCGUAGAUAUCAGGAGGAACACCAGUGGCGAAGGCGGCUUCCUGGACACCAACUGACGCUGAGACGCGAAAGCGUGGGGAGCAAAACA
rnacentral:rRNA from 1 species